rnacentral:rRNA from 1 species
CUUGCGACACUUCAGUUGAUACUAGAUUUGGCUGAACCUGAUAGGUUGCGGUCUUAUGGGAAGCUGAUUCUUAAUGAGCAUCUGUUUGAUGCUCUAAUAGAGCUGCCCAUGAUCUCGAGGAAAGCAUGGCUAUUAAUGUUGCCUUGA